UCUUACUGGGGAUUUGUGUAUUCUUCAGGCUUUUCUAAGCUCUAUCUGAACAAAGCAUUUUGGCUCUGCUGCAGACCUGUUCCCAUCCAGAGGAGGCUGGAAAUCCAGCCUUCAGAGCUGGAGCAUUGCACUGGGGACAGAAAUAUGCAAGCAGCUUCUCAUUUCAGAUCAACCAUGAAGGAAACUGCAUAGAUCUCAUCAGGAUAUUAGGUGAGUGAAGUGGCUGCUUGCAGAGCUAUGCCUGUGUUUCCUGGAAAGCACUGCCCUCAGUAACAGCACCAGACUGUGGGUAACGGAGCUGAUAGGCAAGGCAUUAGCCAGACUAACCCAGUAAAGGUCAGUCAAGGAUAAAUAAAUCUUGGCAGACAAUGUGAUGUAAGAAUUACUUUAUGCAAAAAGGACUUAAUGGGAAAUAGAAUGUGUUUCCUGGAAGAACAAGCUGACGAUGCAGUGAAAAUAGUUAUUAUGUGUGCCAAGAACACAAUGUAGUCUAGACUGGAGAGUGCCAAUGGGAGCAAGUUUUACUCCAUUUCAGACCUAUCCAAACAUGGGAAGGCUGCACACAAACUCCAGCAAAUCUGUGGGAUAUUUACCUGGCAUAAAAAGAGUAUAUUGUCAGAACUGGAUUACUCUAAAAACUGCCUGGUUCCAGUCCUGCAAGAGUCUGCCUUCCAGCUACUGCAGAACUAAAUCUGAAUCACAAAACCAAUGCAUUUCCCUGUCUGAUGCCACAACUCGGGUCAUUAUCGCAGAUGUGAUACAUUUCAAAAUGUAAGGCUUGCCCUCAAGCAAGUACAUGAAGAGACCCAUCACAACGAGUCUGAUCAGUCGAAUGGUGACAGCCAGGGAUAGUGUGACAGCACGGAAACAUGCCCACUGGUCACCUGUGCAAAUGGGACUCACAGAGGGAUUGAAUGAAAAGACACAGACCUUAAGAGACCUGAGGUCAUUUAAAAGAAACAUGAGUUUGUUGUUAAAAUUGUGACAAUGUUCAAAAGGGCACCUAACAUAGAUUGA
ensembl:lncRNA